UGGUGGGGAGCUGUGAUGUGAAGUUCCCUAUAAGGUUAGAAGGCCUUGUGCUUACCCACCAACAGUUCAGUAGUUAUGAGCCAGAGUUGUUUCCUGGUUUAAUCUACAGAAUGAUCAAACCGAGAAUUGUUCUCCUUAUUUUUGUCUCUGGAAAAGUUGUAUUAACAGGUAAGUUGUAAUAGGAAAUAGUGUCUAACCCUAAGUUUUGAAAGGUUCAAGAAUGGCAUUUUCUCAGUGCUAAGAAGUAAUAUUACAGUGUUGGGACAGUUGGCUACUGACCUGUAUAGAAGCUUUGCCCCUUUAUUCCCUCCCCCGACCCUAACACUCUGGGAAACAUACCCACAGAAUGGGCAGCUGAGGGAAGUCAGACCACAGUCCUGUGGCUCCUUCAGCUGAAGCAUGACCUUGGUGGGGAGGGGAGAAGUGAGCAUGACAGAUGGCGUUUUAAGUUGUCUAAAAUUUUGGAGGUUCAUCAGCAUUAUCAUUUCAAGGCAGCAAAGGAUGAUGCUUCAGAAGAGCUUGGUCAUAGGCAACAAUGGGGAGAGUAAGAGUCAGCUACUCGCUGCUGCCAUGCUGGCUUCUGACCUGGUGCAGGGCCAGCACUGGUCACAUGGGCAGACUGUAGGGAAGGUAGCUGGAGUCACCUGGGAUGCUGCUCUCGUAAUUGUUUUUAAAAGCCAGUGUAAGAAAAGGCCACUUCCAUCGUACGUUUUACCGCCUUCAUCUGUCAGCCUUACUGGGUAUGGAGAGAAUCGUGCUUGUGGUUUUGUGAAGAAAUGCCAUUUCAGACUCUGUCCUCUACUCCAACUUGUCUACAUAGGUGCUAAAGUCAGAGCAGAAAUUUACGAAGCGUUUGAGAACAUCUACCCUAUCCUAAAGGGUUUCAGGAAGACGACGUAAUGGCCGUCAUGUACUCCUGCCUCCCCCACCACUUGUUUUUUUUAGAAGAAAUCAGUUUUUGGUACAUUUAAUGGUGGUGUUGUGGACGGCCCUGUGUGGUGCAAGGAUGGACGUUCGGUUUAGGUUGCAGCACCAGGUGAAGCUCCUGCACGCGAACCCCACAGGGGUGCCGCAGUUUCUGCACAGAGAACUCCGGAGCGUUCCUGUAAGUUGCUCGUACUGUGCUGCUAUUCGGGCAGCGCUGCCCGGUUAUUUAUAUUUAGAUUUUAAACACUUACUGCUGUUGACAAGUUGGUUUAAGGGACAAAACUUUAAGUGUUAAAGCCACCUCAACAAUUGAUUGGACUUUUUCGUUUAAUUUCUUCCCCAUAAACCACAUUUUUUAUAUUUCUACCAGAAAAGUAAAAAUCUUUUUUAAAAGUAUUGUUUUCUAAUUUGUAACUCCCAGGGGUUAUUUUUGUGCCAGACACAUUCCGCGUUUUCAGUAUUGCAGGACAGAAUAGAAAUGUAUUAAUGAAAACAAAUGGCUGUACAUAUUUUUCUUCCUUCAGAGUACUCUGUACAAUAAAUGCUGUUUAUAAAAGUGUUAGAUGUUAUAAAUGAAACCUUGUAAGAUUCAUGUGAUCAUACUGUUUAAAAAAGUUGUAUUUUAGAUAUAAUGCCUGAAAC
rnacentral:lncRNA from 1 species